AGAAUAAAGAUCAAAUACCCAACUCAAAAUUAAAAAUUAUCACAAACCCAUUAAUAAAACUUAGUUCAACUCCAAGAUUAACAUAAAGUAUUACAUACCCAAUCUCUAAAAUCUAAAAAUCUACUCACUAAACAUGAUAUUUACAAGGGAAAUCACAAAAUAAAACAAAGAAAACAUAAAAUUUAUAAAGGAGAAGAAAAACCCAAAUGAAAAACUCUUCAAAUAUUGAUAAUCCAUGCCCAAAGAGUCUCCAUCGGUGAAGUUCCAGCAGCUCUUCUUAUUCUCCACGCGAAAUGAGAAAGAAAAAGGUGAAAAAGGGUAGAAAAAGGAGAGAAAAAGGGAGGUGGCUGCUCUCCCCUUUAUUUUUAGGUCUUCUCUCCCUAAAACCUAAAGUAAAAAGACUAUUUAUAUGUCCUAAAGAAUUGCCCUAGUACAACAAAAGAGGCUACCAUGUCAUCACUAUAAGUUGCUAAUUU
rnacentral:lncRNA from 1 species